rnacentral:rRNA from 1 species
AAUAUUGAGCAAUGGACGGUAGCCUGAUCCAGCCAUGCCGCGUGUGUGAAGAUUGUCUUCGAUUUGUAACGCACUUUAAUUUAGGAGGACAGGAUUACACCUAAGACUUGUGAACUUAUACGUUACCAAUAUAAUAAUUACCGUCGAACUUCGUGCCAGCAGCCGCGGUAAUACGAAGGGUGCAAGUGUUAAUCGGAAUUACUGGGCGUAAAGCGCGAGUAGGUGGUUCGUUAAGUUGGAAGUGAAAGCCCCGGGCUCAAACUGGGAAUUGCUUUCAAAACUGGCGAGCUAGAGUACGGUAGAGAGUGGUGAAAUUACCUGUGUAGCGGUGAAAUGCGUAGAUAUAGGAAGGAACAUCAGUGGCGAAGGCGACCACCUGGACUGAUACUGACACUGAGGUGCGAAAGCGUGGGGAGCAAACAGG